CGUGCAGGUGGUUCGGUAAGUUGGGCGUGAAAUCUCCCGGCUCAACUGGGAGAGGUCGUUCAAUACUACCGAACUUGAGAGCAGAAGAGGAAGAUGGAAUUCCCGGUGUAGUGGUGAAAUGCGUAGAUAUCGGGAGGAACACCAGUGGCGAAGGCGAUCUUCUGGUCUGUUUCUGACACUCAGACGCGACAGCUAGGGUAGUAAACG
rnacentral:rRNA from 1 species